AGAGUGCUGACAUGGAGAGAACAUUGUUUGGCAGACAGGUAACAAAGAGUAGGGACUAACGUUUCCCUUUAAGAAUGGCAGGCAAUGAUUCGUGGGGCACCGCACGGCUCGGUGCUGAGGAGCAGACUAUACAUCAAUGAUUUACAUGAAGGGAUUCAAGGUAACAUUAGCAAAUUUGCGGAUGACACUAAGCUGGGGGGCAGUG